GUUAAGUUUACUAAGAGUAUAUGGUGAAUGCCUUGACGGAAAGCACCGAAGAAGGACGUGGCUGGCUGCGAAAAGCCUCGGGGAGGUGUCGAGCAACCUUUGAUCCGGGGAUAUCCGAAUGGGGUAACCCUCUUUGUUUUAAAGACAAAGAACUCCGAUGUAAGUCGGAGAGGGAACCAGGCGAACUGAAACAUCUAAGUAGCCUGAGGAAAAGAAAGAAACUUCGAUUUCCUAAGUAGUGGCGAGCGAACGGGAAAUAGCCAAAACCUUAUUGGUGUCAAAGCCUGUGGGCGUUGCCUUUAAGGUGUUGUGAGGUAAUCGUUUUAAGUCCGCAGUCUGGUAGUUUUACUAUCAGACCCAAGACUUAGAUUAAAAGCCACAGAUUUAAAGUGAGGUAAAAAAUAAAGUUAUUAGGCGAAGGUUCCUGGAACGGACCACCAUAGAAGGUGAUAGUCCUGUAGGUAAAAAUAACUUUGACCUCAUACGAUUAUUCUCUAUUACCAUGGGACACGAGAAAUCCUGUGGGAACCUGGGUGGACCAUUACCCAAGGCUAAAUAUGCUUUCCGAUCGAUAGUGAACUAGUACCGUGAGGGAAAGGUGAAAAGCACCCCGGUUAGGGGAGUGAAAUAGACCUGAAACCAUAUACUUACAAGCCGUAGGAGCGCUUCGUUACACUCAGCGCUUAACUCAAAGUGCAAAAAUCAAAAUGCAAAAUUAAGGUAUCCUUCGGAUGAUUUAUAAAAUCAUCGCGAAGCGACUCCAAAAUUUUAAUUUUUGAUCUUUAAUUUUUGAUUUUGAACGCCGAGCGUAGCGAGGUGUGACUGCGUGCCUUUUGUAGAAUGAGUCAACGAGUUACUUUGGAUAGCGAGGUUAAUCCGCCUAAGGCGGAGGAGCCGCAGGGAAACCAAGUUUUAAAAGGCGUUUUAGUUAUUCAAAGUAGACCCGAAACUAAGUGAGCUAUCCAUGGUCAGGAUGAGCCCCGAUUAACCUCGGGGGGAGGUCCGAACCCACCGGAGCUGCAACACCGGGGGAUGAACUGUGGAUAGAGGCGAAAAACCAAUCGAACUUAGAAAUAGCUGGUUCUACCCGAAAUAGCUUUAGGGUUAGCCUUACAAUUAAUUUAUGGAGGUAGAGCACUGAAUGGUUAUGCGGGUUUAUACCUUGCUUAACCAAUCAAACUCCGAAUGCCGUAAAAUUAAAUUGUAAGAGUCAGACAGUGGGGGAUAAGCUCCAUUGUCAAAAGGGAAACAGCCCAGAUCGUCAUCUAAGGUCCCUAAAUUUAGACUAAGUGGCAAAGGAUGUGAGAUUGCUUAGACAACCAGGAUGUUGGCUUAGAAGCAGCCACCAUUUAAAGAGUGCGUAACAGCUCACUGGUCAACGUGAUCUUGCGCCGAAAAUUAACGGGGCUCAAGUCUAAUACCGAAGAUACGAUCCCGCACAUAACUUGUUAUGUGUGGGAGGUAGGGUAGCGUUCUUAAUGCGAUAAAGUCUCGAUGUGAAUUGGGAUGGAGCGUUAAGAAGCGAGAAUGUUGACAUUAGUAGCGUUAAUUGUCUGUGAGAAUCAGACACACCGAAUACCUAAGGUUUCUCCGAUAAUGCUUAUCAAUCGGAGGUUAGUCGGCCCUAAACCCAACCCGAAAGGGGUAAGUGAUGGAUAAGGCGUUAAAAUUCGUCUACUCCCAUAAAUGUUCCCAAGUAUGACACUUAGCAUAAGACUGAGCAUAUUUUGACUAUAUGUGUCUAAUCCGCCUAAGGCGGAGAAUGAAACCCGUAAAAAGGAAUUUAGUUGAAUACUAAGACAAGAAAAACCACUCGGUUAAUAGUUUAUGGGAACCGUACCGCAAACCGACACUGGUAGGUGAGGCGAGGAGCCUAAGGUGAUCGGGAGAACCCUCGUUAAGGAACUCGGCAAAAAAGCGUGCGUAACUUAGGGAUAAGCACUGUCGCCGCAAGGCGACCGCAGCGAAAGUGACCCAGGCGACUGUUUACUAAAAACACAGGUCUGUGCAAAAGCGUAAGCUGAUGUAUACGGACUGACGCCUGCCCAAUGCUAGAAGGUUACGUCAAUCCCUGCAAGGGGAGAAACUAAGCCCUAGUGAAUGGCGGCGGUAACUAUAACCGUCCUAAGGUAGCGAAAUUCCUUGUCGUGUAAGUUACGACCCGCACGAAUGGCGUAACGGUCUGGGUACUGUCUCAACGAGGGAUCCGGCGAAUUUGCAAUAACGGUAAAGAUGCCGUUUACCUACGACAAGACGGAAAGACCCCGUGAAGCUUUACUAUAGCCUGAUAUUGGAUUAGGGUUUGAUUAUGUGCAGGAUAGGUGGGAGACUUUGAAGUCCCGACGUCAGUCGGGAUGGAGUCGCAAUGUGAGAUACCACUCUGAUUAGACUUUGAUUCUAACUCCGAUCAGAAAUCGGAAGACAGUAUCUGGUGGGUAGUUUAACUGGGGCAGUUGCCUCCUAAAGAGUAACGGAGGCGUUCAAAGGUACGCUAUCCGCCGAUGGAAAUGGCGGAGAUAGUAUAAAGGCAUAAGCGUGCUUGACUGUGAGACCUACAAGUCGAGCAGGCCCGAAAGGGGGACUUAAUGAUCCUCCUGUUCAAUAUGGAAUGGCCGUAGCUCAACGGAUAAAAGCUACUCCGGGGAUAACAGGCUUAUCGGUCCCAAGAGUUCACAUCGACGGACCGGUUUGGCACCUCGAUGUCGGCUCGUCGCAUCCUGGGGCGGAAGUAGGUCCCAAGGGUUGGGCNNAGAAGUUUGAGGGGAGCUGCUCCUAGUACGAGAGGACCGGAGUGGACGAACCUCUGGUGUACCAGUUGUUCUGCCAAGAGCAUUGCUGGGUAGCUAAGUUCGGAAGAGAUAAACGCUGAAAGCAUCUAAGCGUGAAGCUCGCCCCAAGAUUAGACUUCGCAAAGAUUCCCGAAAGAAUAUCGGGUUAAUAGGCUUUAAGUGUAAGUCCGGCAACGGAUUAAGCUAAGAAGUACUAAUAAAUCAAAAACUUAACUUU
rnacentral:rRNA from 1 species